UUGAACGCUGGCGGCAGGCCUAACACAUGCAAGUCGAGCGGAUGAAGGGAGCUUGCUCCUGGAUUCAGCGGCGGACGGGUGAGUAAUGCCUAGGAAUCUGCCUGUAGUGGGGGAUAACGUCCGGAAACGGGCGCUAAUACCGCAUACGUCCUGAGGGAGAAAGUGGGGGAUCUUCGGACCUCACGCUAUCAGAUGAGCCUAGGUCGGAUUAGCUAGUUGGUGGGGUAAAGGCCUACCAAGGCGACGAUCCGUAACUGGUCUGAGAGGAUGAUCAGUCACACUGGAACUGAGACACGGUCCAGACUCCUACGGGAGGCAGCAGUGGGGAAUAUUGGACAAUGGGCGAAAGCCUGAUCCAGCCAUGCCGCGUGUGUGAAGAAGGUCUUCGGAUUGUAAAGCACUUUAAGUUGGGAGGAAGGGCAGUAAGUUAAUACCUUGCUGUUUUGACGUUACCAACAGAAUAAGCACCGGCUAACUUCGUG
rnacentral:rRNA from 1 species